AUGAAAGUUUACUCCUCUCCAGGAGGCGGGGUGCACAGGCAGCCUCUCCCCAUGCUUUCUCCCGGGAGGAACUGGACGCACAAGAAAGCCCACGACCAAAUCCGCCACGACUUACCGCUUCCAUGACUUUCUUCCGAGUAACCUCAGAAGAGUGGAAUCACAAGACAGAAGGAGCCUGGAUCCCAAAGUCUGUUCUUUGAAGAGAGCUUCUAAGGAGACCUGUCCAGUAGUCAUCAGAGUUUGAUAUAAAUAAACCUUUGCUAUAUAAAGCUAUUAAAAUCAGGGGGUAUUUGUUAGUGCAGCAUAACC